AUGACCCAGGUCCGCGCGCGCUCCCCUCUCAGACGGCGCCCCCUGCCCUGCUCGGGCUCCGGCCAACGCUCGGGAGGCGCCGCUCGCCGGGCCCGGGCCCGGCUCCGGCUGGGGUCCAGGCCUGGCCCCCGACCCAGCCCAGCCCGGCUCGGCCCUGCCCGGCCCAACUCACCUCCGCAACCUGGCGGCGCCUCCUCAGUCCCCGCGGCCCGACGGCGCAGCCCCNNNNNNNNNNNNNNNNNNNNNNNNNNNNNNNNNNNNNNNNNNNNNNNNNNNNNNNNNNNNNNNNNNNNNNNNNNNNNNNNNNNNNNNNNNNNNNNNNNNNUAGCGCCCGGCCGGGGCCCCGCGGCUACGGCGCGCCCGGGGCGCACGCGGAGCUGUGAAUCGCGCGCACGGACUACCGCUCCCACAGGGCCGCGCGGCGCCGCCGCCAGAACGGAAGCUCGGGGCGGUACCCGGUGCGCAACGCAGGCCGGGAGUUGUAGUCCUCGGGUGUUGGCCAACACCCUGGAGCUCCCUCCAGGGGCUUGCCGACUUCCCGGGCCUCCCCGUCAGCCAGCACGGCUGGAAACUGCUGAGCCCGGUGCCACGCGGGGCGCUGCGUGUCGGAUCUGGCUCGGAGUGGCGGAAAGAAUCCUCCCAGGCCCAGGUGUGGUGCUCUGGCUGCUUACCUGGCUGUCUGGACGAGCACCCGACUAGGCCCUGGCCCUUGCGUCUCCAUGGGGCCCGCAGACCUCCGUGGCGUCUUUCCAGGGUCUCCUCAGUCCCCUUACCUCCCGCCUCCCAACCGUCGUAAAAUCUCUUUGCAACUUGUCUGCUACCGCGGGUCCUCUCAAGGCUUUGUGGUCAAAAGCUCUGGUUUUGGUGGGACCGACUUGGGUGGAGAAACGGCCUGGGCACUUACAGUUUGACUUGGCCACGUUACUUCUUGAGCCUCGGUUUCCUUCUCGGUGAAGGGGGACGACCUGAGAUACCAUCCACGGCGCGCUCAGCCCCGCGCCUGGGAGGAAGACCACUAAACCUGGGAAGCCGGUGGUGUUGGCGCGGGGGCCUCGGACCAGAGCCGCCCCCUCCCCGCCCCCCCCCCCCCAUUCACAAAAGGGCUUCCUAGGUCCAGUCUCUCCCGUUAAGUUCUCUUUGGGCAGCUUGAGGGCAUUCAACCAGCAGUCACGAGACUGGAGGCCCCUCUGCCGCCUCCAUGUUUUGGGGGCAGCAGGACCCGCAGGAAAGCUGUUCAUCAGAUGCGGCCAAAGCACAGGGAGGCGGUAGAGGGGGUUGCUAGGAUCCUCAGGGCAGAGCCCUAAAGACUGGUGUUCAGGGGGCACCUAGGGAGCCUGAGGCGGCACUGGCCAUUCAGGAGACAGAAACCAGGCAUGUCAGCUAAGAGAUUCAGGGAGAGUACUCGGUUAUGGCUCAAUUCUGCCUCCAGACUCCAGAGUAGAGUUGGGUUUUGCUUUGUUCUUUAACUCUGUUUUGAGAGAGACACAGCUUGAGCAGGGGAGAGAGAGAAUCCCAAGCAGGAUCUGCACAGUCACUGAGGGGCCCAGUGUGGGGCUUGAGCUCACAAACCAUGGGAUCAUGGCCUGGACCGAAAUCAAGAGCUGGAUGCUUAGCAGACUGAGCCACCCAGGUGCCCCAAGAUGGAGCAGAACGCAAGUGGAAGGUUGGGCCGCGUUUGUUCCAGUACCCCGAAAACCUGCGCUAACCGCAGGACGACCUACAUACAGGGUUCAGUGUACUCAGUAGACCAAGCCCCCGGAAAACCUCGGACUCCAGAUGCAGCCGCGAUGGAGCCGCUUCCUGAGUUCUCUAAGCGGCGAGCUUGCGGGGGACUUGCCAGUCCCUAGCUUCCUCAUCUCUUAGCGACAACAUGCAGCCUCUGACCCUGUGUGGCCAUGGAAUCCAGAAGAGAGUCGAGGGCCAACUCCACAGGCCCCCUUCCCUCCCCUGCCCCUUCCAAAGGACACAGCCUGGGGUGGCAGUGUUCGCCGGGUAUCCACAGCUGUGUGACCUCCAGGAGAAGCUCACUGCAGUUUUUCAGAGCCGGGACCUGCACAGGGAGGGUGAGGAGAGAGUACAGGGAGAGAGUAGGAGAUUCCUGCCCUUCCCAGGAAGGGGCCAGGGCCUGUUGUCAAGGGGGAGAAGGCCCAGUCACCACAAGCAGACCUGAGGAGUUUUCUGGACUCUGGAGUAGCUCCGUGUCCGAGGGGAAGGAGCUGGAGAAGGGGUGGAAGGGCCCAAUGCAGAGAGACCUGGGUACUGGCGGGAGGCAUUGUCUCAAGCAUCCCUGUGCAGAUCCCACGUGUGCCCAUGUUCUUGGCUUUGGGACACAGCAGUAAACAAGACACCCAAAGACCUUCAUGGAGUGGAGAUUCUAGCGGGCUUUGGACACAGCGACCAGUGGUGGGACGCACAUGCUGGAGCAGAGGCCAGCUGGUGGGUCAAGCAUGGGUCGUCAGUCUGUGUGCUGGGAGAUGUGUGACCUGUGCUCUGCCUGAUUUUACAUAAUGACCUGUCUGCUUUGCGAACCCCACGUGCCUGGCUUAAAUCGGAAAACAGAUGUCCAUACAAGUAAAAAGUGAGAGCCCCGGGGCACCUGGGUGGCUCAACAGGUUAAGCAUCUGACUCUUUGAUUUCAGCUCAGGUCAUGAUCUCACGGUUUGUGAGUUUCAGCCCCAUGUCAGACUCUGUGCUGAUAGUGUGGAGCCUGCUUAGGAUUCUCUCUCUGCCUCCCUCUCUCUGCCCCUCCCCUGCUCGUGCUUUUUCUCUCUUUCUCAAAAUAAAAACAUGGGAAAAAAAAAAAAACAGGCUGGAAGCUCAGAAAGGAGGAGGCUUUCUCAUAGUGCCCUGUCAGGGUUAGAGCCUGCUUGAAAUCGUCUCUCCCAUCUGUCUGCCCCUACCCCCAUGUGCACCUGCAC
ensembl:lncRNA